rnacentral:rRNA from 1 species
UGGGGAAUAUUGCACAAUGGACGGAAGUCUGAUGCAGCAACGCCGCGUGCGGGAUGACGGCCUUCGGGUUGUAAACCGCUUUUUCUCAUGACGAAGUUUUUUGACGGUAGUGGGGGAAGAAGCACCGGCUAACUACGUGCCAGCAGCCGCGGUGAUACGUAGGGUGCGAGCGUUGUCCGGAAUUAUUGGGCGUAAAGAGCGUGUAGGCGGUUUGUCGCGUCGAUAGUGCAAACUCAGUGCUUAACGCUGAGCCUGCUGUUGAUACGGGCAGACUAGAGGAAGGUAGGGGAGAAUGGAAUUCCCGGUGGAGCGGUGGAAUGCGCAGAUAUCGGGAGGAACACCGGUGGCGAAGGCGGUUCUCUGGGCCUUUCCUGACGCUGAGAAGCGAAAGCGUGGGGAGCGAACAGG